rnacentral:lncRNA from 1 species
CGACCGGUUCAACAGCAGGAGUCUCAGGAGGAAGCGAAGGAACACAACCGCCACCGCCACCGCCGCCAAAGGAAGAAGAGAGAGUGGAAGCCGAUGUGGGAGGACUGGGGCUUCUCAUAUGAAGAACGGAAGUGGGUUCGUUGUUGGGUAAAGCAAAAUAAGAAAACCCUUCUUGUUCUUCGUCUAGUUCUUGUUCUUGUUGUUCUUCCCCUUUCUUAACCCACUUUUCUGCAAAACCAGAGCAAAUCGGAGAAGAAGAAGAAAAAGCAGCUGAAAAUUCCAACUCCCCCUUCCCCUGAAAAUGAAAGGAAAUACCCCUCAUACCCAGAGGAACAAAAACCAGAAAAUGAAGAACAACAAAAACAAUAUUCCAAAGGGUUUCUUCAAGUAAGUAGAAGAAAUCAAAAUUUCAGGGUUUAAUUUGAAACCCACCAUUUUUCUUUGCAUGCCAUCAAAUCCCAAAAUCCCAUUUUUCACAGAUUGUUCUUCAAAUUCCUUCUUUCCCCUCCUUUCUUCUUCUUCCACCUCAACUUCCUCUUCCUUCUACUUUCCAUUUCCAUAAUCUCUAUUUCUUUUACUCCAUUUUCAGCUACCCUUUUGCUUUCUUCCUCUGUUUUUCUUGAUACUAUCUUCUUCUUCUUCUACUUCUUAUCAAGUGUGUGAGUUGUUUUUGUUUGUUCUUCUAGGCUUGUGUUGUAGCAGUGGUCUGUGGCCUUCUCUGUUCUGCCAUGGAUGCGUACAUCAUAAAAAAGGCAAUAAAGUGUACGCCCCCUUCUCCUCCACUCUCUCUCUCUCUUGUUUUUCUCUCUCUUACUACCAUUACUUUUCUUCUCUUUCUUCUUCUUGCUUCUUUUCUUUUUCUAUUUUCAAUUUUUUUGGGUUAAAAUUGGUUUUGUUUUUGGCCCUUUUUGUUAAUUUUUCUUUUCUUGCUUUGGGUUUUCUCUGUCACUUCUGCCUUGUAGUGGCCAUACUGUUCUAAUUUCUUGAAAGCCCAAAACCAACCAAAGUGAAAACAGAGAGAUGAGAAGAGAAGAUGCAAAAGAGGGGCCUUUGUGAUUUCCUUUUUUUCUCUUUUCAAUGUUACAACUUAUAAACCAAAAUCCUUUCUUUUUAUUUCUCUUCUUUCUCAUUCCAAUAUAUGAUUAUUAUUAGGUCCAACACAUAGUUUAAAACAAGAACAUUACAGCUUAUGUCAAGUUUUCAUUUUUGAUAUAUUGAAAAGCUAAAGGUUUGAUUUCUCACUUUACAUAUUAUCUAAAAAAUAAUAAGAUAAAUAUAUGUUCAUGUUAUUCGAUUGUUAGAGAUGAAAUCUCAUGAUUUGGAUAUGAUAAAUCUUCGGCUGAGAAAGGAGUCGCCAUUAAGUGAAAUUGGAGUCCUCGUUGAAGAUUUUAUUUUGUGUGAGAAUCUUGUUAAUGUUUUUUCUUCAUCCCUAAGUAGUAUAACAAAUUUGCUCAUGUUGUUGCACAUCCUCUCGUAGUUGUUGUUGUGGUAAGAGAUCUUUUGCGAUAGUAUCACUCUUCUCGUUUGUGAUGAGGUGGUGAGAAAGUAGUCAAUGUAAUUUUGUUUUUUUGUUUGCUUAAAAAGAUGAUAAGAUGUUAAUUACUAUUUCAAAAUUAGUUAAUAAUUUUAUAUUUUGUUUUUCCAAUAGUUAAACAAGAAAAAAAAAAAAGUUGAAAAAUGUCAUUUCAGGUGUAAUAGAUAAGGCAUAUUACAUUCAUUAAAGAUUUUUUUUUCUCCACAUUGGUUUAGGGUUAAAUUGUAACGAUAGGAUGAAAGAAGAUUGAAAGAUGUUUUAAUUAUAUUUCUAAACUUUAAAAUGUUUCAUUUUUAUCCUUUUACAGUGUGAUUUGUUUUUUCUUAAAAAAAACAUUUGUAAAAAUUGAUUUCAUCGAAUGAUUUUAUGAUUUUAACAAAAAAAAAAAAGAUAAUAAAUGGUAAUCACGGUCUUAAUUUAUCUUUUUAAAGCAUAACAAUUGAAGAUUGAAGGAUUCCAACUUCUCAACUUCAAGAUAGAAUGUCAUGUCAAAGCCUUAAUUAGUGAUAAACCAUAUCAUGGUUAAGUCUUUAUCACCAAUAAGAGUAAUUAAAAAAUAAUGUCUGUAACCGAUAAUUUUACAUAUAUCUAAGAUUCGUAUACUUAAUUA